AAUAUGUAUAUUGUAUUCAUGUAUGUAUAUGUAUCUCAUUCGUAUCUAUUGUACAAUAAUUCAUUUAUAAUGGAGUUUCACUUACCAGUUAGGAAAGUCUGUUUCAACCAAAUUUCGUGCAAAGUUUGGUAUUGUAUCUUGCGUGCAAAUGCAAAUUGAUGUCAAUUUGGUGCCAGUCUCUACUUAAAGCAGUGUACGGUUCUUAUUUGGUAUGAAUUUGGUAUCGUCUAAUUUUAAACUCGGGUAUUAUUAUCGAAAUAUGUAUUGCAAAAAGCUUAAAACGUUAGAAUUCGAAUAAGAUUAUACAAAAAUUUAUUUCGAAUGUAAAAAUAUCGAUAACAAAGAUGAAAAAGAAGACAAAAAUUUGUACAAUAUUCGGGGAGUCGAAACAGAGUCCGCAAGAGUAUGAGUCCAACACUCUACCACUUCAUCUACAUUUUCUUGUUGGCACCGUUUACAUAACUGUAAUAGUACGCGCGCGAACAGGUAAAAAAAAAAGAAAUCUUAAAUAUCUUCAAAACAGAGGCCCAGUUUGAUAAACCCCACAUAUUCCAUCUACUGUGAUUUCAAAAUGCAUGACCUAACCCUUGCCUUUUUUAGCUAUCGUUACCAGAUUUCGCCUAGGUUUAGUAUGCAUUUGGCAACAUCAAACUUUGGUGCCAAAUUUAUAUCAAAUACGAACCGAACCGCGCUUUCAGCAGAGUCUUAGUAUCAAAUUGGCAUCAAUUUGUUCGCAAACAUUACACAAUAUGUAUUUUGUCGAAGCUGCCUUGGCUAACUGGGUAGUAACGAUAUGGUUUCUUUAUGGAAAGAAUUGAACAGUUUUAGAGCAAGGAAAAGGAGAGGACUGAACAUAAAGGAAAAUCAGUGGGUGCAGCACGUCACGGAGUUGCUCAUAGGAAGGAAAAGGAAAAGACAGGAGCGAGAUCUAACGAGGAAGUAGAGGAAGGGAGAGUAAUCUCGCUAAGAAAAGAUGAAACGAGGACUUCAGAAUGAGAAGAGGAGUUUAGUAUGGAGGAGAUGAGACUAGAGAAGAAAUAAAAUGCAGACGGACUAAUUACUGAAUUUUUCUGGGACAGGGGAAAAACGAGAAAGUAAAAAACUACCGCGAAGUAAAAACUACAAGACAAACUAAAAUUCAGCAAAUGGCUGGAAAGAAAGAAAAUGCUUGGAAGAAAUUAACAAAAAGAGGUACAAGAAGAUUAUACAUUUAUUUUAAACGCAACAGAAUAUUCAGGAAAAGUGGGUGAAAAUAAAGAUUUCUACGUAUUGUUCAUAAUAUAAGGAGAGGAAGCAGGAAGCAUACUGGAGAGAUAAAAAGAUUAAAGAGAAUGUAUGGAAAAAUCAACGAAAAAAUGUUGGAAUGGUUAAAGAAAAUGGAAAGAGGCAACAGGCUAGGAGAAAAGGUGGAGGAAAUAUUAACACUUUCACAACCGCAUAUUAUUAAGAAAAGUUUUGCAAGUGGCUUGCCACUGGUACCACGUGGGAGUCACCGGCAAAUAGCGACUGGCCUAUCAAUGGUACCACGUGAGUGUCACCGGCAAAUAACGACUGGUCUACCAAUGACCCCACAUGAGUGUCACCGGCAUACAACGACUGGCCUGCCCAUGACACCACAGUGGUGUCAGCGGUUGUGAAAGUGUUAAGGGAAAGCUCAAUUCCAAAACAUGUGAAUAUUCUGUGAGGUACGAGAAAAAAAUAGGAAAGUCGAGAAUACGAAAAGAUGGACACUAGGAGUGGAUGAAUGGCAAAAAGCAAUGGAGUAAAUGAAAGAGCAACAAGAGAAAUUUACAGGAAUAUAAUGUACACAUAUCCAAAAACAUAUCAAAACUUAUUCCAAUUACUUUGUACACUAUACAUUUAGGUACAAACUACUGUACAUAGAGUACUAUAAAUGAGAAAACUUUCUAUUGUUUUCAAUAACUGUCUUACAGAAUAUAAAAUUAUUAUCUGAUACAAAA